AGUGAACGCUGGCGGUAGGCCUAACACAUGCAAGUCGAACGGCAGCACAGUAAGAGCUUGCUCUUACGGGUGGCGAGUGGCGGACGGGUGAGGAAUACAUCGGAAUCUACUUUUUCGUGGGGGAUAACGUAGGUAAACUUACGCUAAUACCUCAUACUACCUACGGGUGAAAGCAGGGGAUCUUCGGAUCUUGUGCGAUUGAAUGAGCCGAUGUCGGAUUAGCUAGUUGGCGGGGUAACGGCCCACCAAGGCGACGAUCCGUAGCUGGUCUGCGAGGAUGAUCAGCCACACUGGAACUGAGACACGGUCCAGACUCCUAAGGGAGGCAGAAGUGGGGAAUAUUGGACAAUGGGCGCAAGCCUGAAACAGCCAUACCGCGUGGGUGAAGAAGGCAUUCGGGUUGUAAAGCCCUUUUGUUGGGAAAGAAAAGCAGAAGGUUAAUACCACGCUGUUCUGACGGUACCCAAAGAAUAAGCACCGGCUAACUUCGUG
rnacentral:rRNA from 1 species